rnacentral:rRNA from 1 species
CGGACGGGUGAGUAACGCGUGACAAUCGGCCCUCAGGUUGGGGACAACCAUUGGAAACGGUGGCUAAUACCGAAUAAGCCGAAAGGUGAAAGAUUAAUUGCCUGGGGAAGAGCUCGCGUCUGAUUAGCUAGUUGGUGGGGUAAAGGCCUACCAAGGCACCGAUCAGUAACUGGUCUGAGAGGAUGGCCAGUCACACUGGGACUGAGACACGGCCCAGACUCCUACGGGAGGCAGCAGUGGGGAAUUUUCCGCAAUGGGCGCAAGCCUGACGGAGCAAUACCGCGUGGGGGAGGAAGGCUCUUGGGUCGUAAACCUCUUUUCUCAGGGAAGAAUACAAUGACGGUACCUGAGGAAUCAGCAUCGGCUAACUCCGUGCCAGCAGCCGCGGUAAUACGGAGGAUGCAAGCGUUAUCCGGAAUGAUUGGGCGUAAAGCGUCCGCAGGUGGCCGUGUAAGUCUGCUGUCAAAGGUCAGGGCUUAACCCUGAACAGGCAGUGGAAACUACACAGCUAGAGUGCGGUGGGGGCAGAGGGAAUUCCCAGUGUAGCGGUGAAAUGCGUAGAGAUUGGGAAGAACACCGGUGGCGAAAGCGCUCUGCUAGGCCGCAACUGACACUCAUGGACGAAAGCUAGGGGAGCGAAUGGGAUUAGAUACCCCAGUAGUCCUAGCCGUAAACGAUGGAUACUAGGCGUAGCUCGUAUCGACCCGAGCUGUGCCGUAGCUAACGCGUUAAGUAUCCCGCCUGGGGAGU